rnacentral:pre_miRNA from 1 species
GCCGGGAAGAGGAAGAAUGAGAGGGUCCAAGAGUAGUAUGAAUGGGAACAUUGAGGAAAACAAGAGCUUUCUAGAUUUCAUCUCCUAAGGAAUUAGAGAUCUAGUUCUGUGUUUUUCCAAUGCCUCCCAUUCCUAUUGUUCUUGGGUGCUCCUUCCCCUUCCCUAUUGGC